UGAGCCACCCAGGCGCCCCUAACAUAUGAUGAUUUUAACAUAGGAUGUUUUGACAUUGUAAUAGCAAACUGUGUCUACACUUGGAAGACUUAGAUAACUUGGUGAACCAUCAUUUUCUAAAUGGCCAGUGCAUGAUGUUAACACCUGUCAGGUGUGGGUCAAAGAGCCAUUCAAAGUGCAAGAUACACCAACGGAUUUUAAUGUUAAGAGCACAAAAAGUUCAUUCAUAGGAUCUCAAAUUCCACACUGCACCAAAUUUUUAAGAAACUACCACUUGUCAAGUUCUGGUGUAGUGUCAGAGAAGAAUACUCAUAAUUAUCUGAAAAGAGGUUGCUAAAAUACUCUUCCUUUUUUCAGCCACUUAAUUUAUGUAAGGCUGGAUUUUCUCCACAUACGUCAACUAAAACAUCAUAUUGCAACAGACUGAAUGCGUAAUACUGAAUGUCCUCUAUUAAAUGCAUUAGAGAUUUACAAACAAAAUCCUGUUUUCUUUUUUUCUUUUUCUUUCAAAUCCAGUUUUCUUACUGAUUUUGUUUUUGGAGGGAAAAUAGAGUUCAUUUCAUAAAGAGUUAUUUAUGUUAACAAGGCAUCUUGACUGAUUUCAUUUAUUCUUCUCAGACAACAGUCUGGAUGUACCCCUUCCAGAUUCACAGCAUCGCCCUCUCCACGUUCGCCUCGCUCAUCGGCCCCUUUGGAGGGUUCUUUGCAAGUGGAUUCAAACGAGCCUUUAAAAUCAAAGACUUUGCCAACACCAUUCCUGGCCACGGAGGCAUCAUGGAUCGCUUUGACUGCCAGUACCUGAUGGCCACCUUUGUCAACGUGUACAUUGCCAGUUUUAUCAGGGGCCCCAACCCAAGCAAGCUGAUUCAGCAGUUCCUGACCUUGCGUCCAGAUCAACAGCUGCACAUCUUCAACACACUCAGAUCUCACCUGGCCGACAAGGGGAUGCUGACAGCCACCACAGAGGAUGAGUAGGGGCCCCAGGGCCGAGACAGCAGGAGCAAACGGAGCGAGGGCUGGGCUUCAAGGCAAAGCCCCACUGGUGUGACUCAGUCAACGACAAGGCUUCAACUCACUGUUUUUUGGUUUUUUUUUUUUUUUUGUAGAGUGUUUUUUAUUUGUGGGUUUUCAAAACAAUCUGUAUAUACAGUCUAUGUGCUUAUGAUUUGGGUUGUGGGUAAGCUACAGCUUUGAGUUGGAAAGAAGUCACGGGGAUCAGACCAUUGGGUUUUUUAAACAAAAGUUUUAACCUGGAAGACAGUGUUGCCCAACUGGGGUACAUCUGCUUGGUUCUUCUUACUCUCAAGCUAGAGUUUCUGUUGCUGGGCUCGCUAAGAGAGUGGAUGUCCAUCUGUGGCUGACCAGUUCAGGGGCACCCCCUGGCCUGUCUUUGUAGCUGACAAUCCCCCCCCACCCCCCCGCCCCAGCUGGGAAGAAGUGCACGGCUUGGAUGUCUUUGCUACUGGAGAGCUUUCACCUGGGCUUCUCGAGAAUCCCUGCCCUGGAGCGAUGGGACAGUUGCCUUCUGUAGGCUGGAGGGACAAAGGCUGAUUAAUUAGGUAAACGUGCUACCCACAAAGUCCUGUGGAGCGUGAGCUCUGCUUUAUGAUAUGGGUUCACCUUACUUCGUCACAGACUGAAAGAAGGCUUCAGUAUUUUUUUUCAGGAAGCACGAGAAAUUAUUUAUAAUAGUCUGAAAAAAUACACUGUACUAUUUCAAGUGUAUGCAAUGGAAUGUACUGUUACGAGCCCUUUCCCGCAGGUUGUCGGCUCAAGUGGCUCCUCUUGGGCAGUCCAGCUAACUGUCUUUUCAGGGACGAUGCCGUUCAUGUUUGUGCUGUAGACUUGUUGCUGCUGAAUCCUUCUGGGGGGCCCUCCUGUUAGGCAGGGAGCAGGGGGCUUCUUGUUCAUGCACCCUUUGCCUGACCGACCACCCUUGUAGCUGCUGUGUUGGGUAUAUACUACUCUUAAGGCAGGUGUGUAUGUGUGUGUGUGUUUUAAAAAUCACUUACUUCUUGCAGUGAUUUCAGUUGUACCAUGACUUCUUCACUGAAACCACAAAAUCCUGCUUACAACUCUGGAAACCUAACCCUAUUAGAGGUGUGACUAUUCUGAAGAUUACAUGCACAUUUAUAUAUAUAUGUAUAAUGUGACCGGUUUAAAUGUAGAUUGCAUUUUAUUGAAGGGACCUUUUUUCUUUUUACACUGUGAUAUCCCCCCCACCUCCCCCCCCUGCCUGAUAAUAGGAGUGAGGUUGACUUUGGGGAGACAAGUUCUUUGUCAGGACAACAAGCAAGGGAGGAUAGGAGAGAGAACCUGGUGCCCAGAGGCGUUCAGUUAUCCCGUGCCAUGGUGAUUCUCCUUGCCAAAUGAGGGUGCGGUGACUUGCUUCAGCACCUUGGUCUGAUCCUGGUUCAUUCUGUUUCUGUUUAAGUCAGCCGUCCUGCUUCCCUGAAAGCUCACAGUCAGCUCAGCUCACUGCCAUGUCCGGCGCAGGGUGGCAGGCCCCUCGACGUGGCCGCUCACGGUCCCUGCGUGGCUCGCCCCACCUGUGCAGCACUGACGCAUCUUCUCCCCCCUGAGCUUGUACUUCCGUUUCAGCGUGUGGCUUUUCUGGUUCAGGGCUGAGGGCCCCUUAAAAACAAAAUGUGUUUUUGCGUGGUGUUUCCAUUCUGGCUGUGUGACCCUGGGCACAGGACACAUCCCUCUCUGGGUCCUUGUUUUCUGAGUGCUCCCCUAAUUCCAGUAUCGAGUCAUGUCCUGGGCACCCAAACAGCAAGAGCUUUCAGGCCGUUUCUAAAUGCUUGUCCUUGAGAUGACUCAGUAUCUCACCAACAAAUCUUAAAACAAUGGAGGUCAUUAGUAACACAUCUAGUUUUCACAUUGAAGAAUGGACUUGGUUGCUGAAACCAGAGACAGGAGGGGUUGUCUCUGUUGCCUUAUUCUGGGCAUACAGUGAAGGCCUUGAUGGUGGGGCCCAGCAGCCCUUGAAUAAGGCUGUCUUUGGGAUCGGCGUGCCUGGCACAAUCCUUUGUGGAAGUGGUCGCUGAGGGGAGCUCUGGGGUCCUGGGAGACUGAAGCUGGAUGCUCACUAGAGCUCUAAGCAAGAAGUCCAGAGGGUCAGCUUGGGUUUUAUCUUCUAUUUUCCCCACUUGCUUUUUGGUCAAGGAAGAGGAAUUUCCUAGCCUAGUAGCCAGGCAAAUAAAGCCACCUCAUGUCUCUAUCUACACACAGUGUUUUUCUUUCUCCCAUUUAUUGAGAUAUUUCACCACACAGACAAGAUGCAAGAGACUGUUUUAACAUACCCCUGUGCAGAUCUUCAUGAAUGGCAUAACUUGCUUCAGAUCCAUUUUUGUGUGUGUGAGAAAUAAAAUGUGACAAACUGUGUGCUCUCCCUUGUUGUGACUUCAGUUUCUCCCUUCUACACAUGGUUUGAUGUUUGCCACUUGUUUUUGCAUCAUAAAUAUCAUGCAGUCCUGGUUUAGAGACUUGUUUUCUGCUCUGAUUCUUCUCCUUUCUCACAGUGGCCUUCUGAGGUGCCUCAGGCAGGAGUCCUGAGCACCUUACCGGUGAGGACAUGAGGACGCUGAGGGCCAGAGCAGCGAAAGCGCUUCCCCAGGGUCACGUGGGAGAGGCAAGCCUCACUCUACCUUGCACUCUGCUCGCCAAGACAGGGAUCAUCCCUAGCCCCACUUGCUUUUGUGAAAGUGGUGUUAAGUGUGCCGGGAAUUCGCAGCAUCCAGUCCUCAGGCCGAGGACGGCCCACCUGUGCACCAGGUUGGAGUUUACAGGGGGAGCCGAUGAGCAAGGGUGUCAUGGAAACCAGGGAACGUCUGUAGAGGGCUGGGCCUGAGCAUCCUCCCUGGGGAGCCCUCAUGACUGCUCACAGAACACCUGAGUCUUUUCCCCUUACAAGCGCUUGCCACCCCCUUAACCAUCCUCAGCGUUGACAAAGUACACAUGUAUGCUUUGCUUCUGAGAGUGAAAUGCCCUAAGGCAGCCUGGGUCUUGUUUGUGUUUAUUAUUUUUUGCCUGUUUCAUAUUCUGAGCAUAUUAGUAGCUACAGUAUAAUUAUAUUUAAAAUGUAUUUACUCUUAGUGUUUAUUAUAUUCUUUAUUUCUAGUUCUAUAAUGUAUGUCUGAAGUUAGUGUCUCUUUCACUUUUAGAAGGGGUGAAAUGUAACAUUUCAUCUUACACAAGUGGACUUUGGAGCCGUUUUCAUGGUAUUUAUUUUUUUCCCACUGGGCUUCUUCUCCUGUAACUUGACUUAUAUUUUUGGAAUCUUCCUGCAUACUCUAUUUUAAAGGAAAUUAAACAGACCCUGAUUGAGUCUAAGCUAGUUGCUGAGUUGGCUAGAGGCUGAUCUGAAUGGAUCCUGGAGUUCAGAUCUUCAAAGUGUCCGUGAGUCCCCAGCAGGCUCAGAGGCACCCCUGAUGUUGAUGGGGCUGGGCAGCAGAGGGUGUGAAGGACUCAGGGCAAAGUGCGUCACUGCUCAGAGAACUCAGCAAUGGCCUUGCUCUGUAAGGAGUCUGCCCUAGGUCAAUUUCUAAGCAAGUAGCUUUUCAUUACUCUACCAGAUGUGAUCCAUCAUUUCUGGAACCUCUUCCUGUGUCCAUAAUAUCUUCGGCACCAUCUCGGUCUUUCAGACUAACUCUGUGCCCACCUUCCUUUCCCGUUGUGAGGAUGUGCUGAGUAGCAUUGAGUGAGGAGGCGGGUGGUUUCACUUGGACCCAGGGUUCCUGUUCUUCCAAAGUUAGGGAGGGGAGGAAGGGCUAAGAGGAGGAUGUCCAGGUGGAUGUCUAGACAUCACCAGACGGUAAACCGUGGGCAGACUCACGGUGCUUGUCUGUAGCAGGGGCUCUGAAGGAGCAGCUGGAACAAACCAGCAGCUUCCUGUGGAGAGGGGCUAACUCUUGGGCAGAGUUUCAUUAUCCUGUCCUUUCUUGGUCAAAACGAACUUCUUCCCUUGAUCGCUCUCCACCCAGUUGCCCAAGUUUCCAGUUUUUGAAGACAUUUGCCACUCCCACUGCUGGACUUGGUUUCCCUUGUUGGGUUAAGACCUGAUGGCCUGAUGUGUAGAAGGUGCUGCUCUUUGGACCAAGUGAUGAUGAGGGAAGGUCUCUUCUAGGCCCACCUCCUCUUGGUCCUGGACUCUGCUCACCCACAUCCUUGCAGAGGGUGGCCCUCUUCUCAGCGAGGAACAGUUCCAGCUGCUGACUGCUUGUUCCACCGGACAGUGACCCUGUCUUUCUGUUCCUCCUGGCUCUGCCCUGCCACUCCCCCUUUCACGUCACACAGCAGUGACCUUACUUACCUGGGCUCUCAGCUGGGUAGAGGCUAUUCUUACCUGGGGUUGUCUCCUGAUUGAGACUUUGACCUGUUUGUAUGUGGACUGUGUUUUCAAGGGUAAAGAGAUCACAGCUGUGAGGGCAGUUUGGGAGGUAUACUUCAGAUACUGAAGUGUUGGGGUUUGUAGAACAUGUAGGUGAUUUAUGAGACCAGGGGGCAGAAUAUGUGGCAUCUAGGAUUUUAUGGCCAGUGGGUUUCAAAUCUAUUGGCCAUUUGAAGACCCUGUCCCAUCUCCUCCCUGUCUCCACCAAAUGCCUAUCUGCCGAGGCUCCUUUUUGUUCUUGAGCCAAUAAGAUGCCAGCGGUGUGUUCAUUAAUAAUAAUUGCAAUAAUAGUCAUAGUGCUUAAUAUGUGCCAGGUAUAGUGUUAAGGGUUUACAUACAUUAUCCCCUUUAAUCCAGAAAACAACCUUUGAUUAGGUAUUAUUACCCCCAUUUUAUAGAUAAGGAAACUGAGGCACCAUGACAGGCUGAUCUCGGUGGUUAAGGAGAUAGACUUAGGGCUCAGAUGACCCUAGGUUUGGGCAGGUUACUAGGCGUAACUCCAACCUGGUGGGGUCUGAGAGUAGCACCUCCCUCCCGGGAUUGUUGUGAGGAUUUUAUGAGAUAACGCAUGUAAGCAUUUAGCACAGUGUCUGGCACAUAGGAAGCGCUCAGUAAAUGGUAGUUACUUUUGUCAAACUCAGUAAUUUGAACCCAAGUUGGUGUGAUGCCAGAGACUGGGUUCUUAGUCACUGCACUGUCACCUGCCCUGCACACAGCCUGGGUGUUCACAGUCCAGAAGAUUUUGAGAGAGGCCAUCCAACCUUUAACACCCACCUAUAGCAGCUGGGUGCGUCAUACUUUUCCUUCCUUUUGUCAGGCUGGCCUUCUAAAUGGAUGGUCAGAAAUUCUCCACUCUUAGUUGGAAUGGUUUCCUUGAGGUCUUGCCCACUUCCUGUUGCUCCUGGUCUGGGCUUUCCUUGGAGAAGGAGGCCCUUACCUCUUGCCUGAUGGGUGCCUCCACUCCAUGAGAGGGGAGGGCCUGUGACUCGCUCUGGACCCCAUUUUCCUCUGCCCAAGGACUAUGCUCUUUGCACACAGCUCAGCGGUCGGCAGCCGUUCCCUGUAUGGGGGGACCUCGCAGUGGCGGAAAAAACAAACCUUCUGUGUGGCAGAUCAUAGUACUGACAGAAAGCCUAAAAGCCCUGCCCACACCCUCACAACAUAGCCAGUCAGGGGCCUUGUGUUUCGUGCUUUCUUACAAGCAUUAAUGGGCUAGAAGCAGGUGACCUCUUGAGGAUAGAUGGUGUGGGGUGUUUCUGUUGGAGUCUGGGCUAGCUAGAAUCAAGGUCGAAGGAUCAAAUGGGUGUGUGAUGAAUGAAGGGAGAACAGGCACUGGAUUGUGUGAAAAGUCUUUCACUUAGUUUUCCAAACGGAGAUGGGGACUUGGGGAGGGCAUGGGUGUGCGGUGGAGGAUUCUUUGCUUUGGAGGAAUCUUGUUGACAGAGAAUCCCUGAAAUUCUCAAGCCAGUGGGCUAAUGAUAACGACUACCGAUUGACCAUGGACUGUUUCCUGGGUGUUGCUGGGGAAUGAAAACCAGACUCAAAGGCCCAUUGUGUUUCAAGAAUGGUCUCUCUCCUUCAGUUAAAUAGUGAAGUACUGACUAUGACAGGAAUCAGGAGGAGAAGGUCGGGGAAGAGUUCGGUAAGCAGCUGCUGUAGCAGGCUGAUCCUGGCCUGCCCUCAUGCCCUUCUGGACCCGCGUUUGCCAGGCCUGGCACUUGUUCCCUUUACUCUUGCAUCUGACGGACCCAGGCUGUUUUCUGCCUGUAGAGAAGUGAGCUCUCAACUGGGGACAAGGGCCAUCUGGUCAUCGGGCUGACGAUGCCCCUGUGUCAGUCUCCCAGGCAUUGGGCAGGACCUGGCUCCUUGCAGCCUUAACCUUUAUGUAGCGCUCAAGGGUUUAGAUGGGCUCAGCCGCCUGGUGAUUCUGUUCCAAGUGAACUUGUGUCUCUCUUAUUAUCCCCAUUGCUGUUUUUGUCCUUGGCUCCUGGAACACGUCUGGUUCUCACCUCCAUUUGGUUCAUGGACUGGGCUUGCUGCCUUGGUGCCUAGAAACACCAGAAUAGGAAAGGAGUUAAGAAUAUUUUCUAGUGGGCAGAAUGUAUAUACAUGUUUUUCUAAGAGUGUCCUUCGCGUGCUGCUUCGUUUUCAUACACAGAGCGUCAUAUUGCUACAGCUGGGUGUCUGGGAACUGGCUAGAAAGGGAAAGAGCUGAGCAGACAUCAGGGCCAAUAAAACCAAAGGACUUGGAGCCAAGAGAACAAGUCAGGACAGGAUGCAGAGAUGUGUUGUUGUCCAGCCAGAAGACUGCCAAGGAGCCUCGAGGGCAAAGGAGAAGCCAGGAGUCCUGCAGCUGAGGACAGACAGACAGAGGCCAGCCCUGUGUUUUGGGGGUGUGGGGACCAGAAACAGAGCUCAGAAGCCCAUCCAGGAAGAUUCAAAGCUCAUGGAUUAUGGACUAUCUUCUGGAGCUGAUGCUGAUACCAAAUUUUUAUUUUUAUUGGUGUUUAAUACUUUCCAAAAGAGGAGGGGAAAACCAAAGUGGGCGAGGUAAGAGGCCCCUCUGUUGGAGCCCUGGGAGCUCUGUGCUUGUUGGGUGAGUUGGGCGCAGCUGUGGACCUGCUCAAGUCUGUGUGCUCUGAGGAUCUGUUUAAUGGGAAAGCUUCCCCCACACAGAAAUGGCCUCCCUGCCCCAUUGGGGAGUUUGGGGAGUGUGAGGCAGUCACCUGGGGCCGAUCACCGCCUGUGUCUGUCACUCAGAGGUUAGCCUGGAUGGACCCUGCCCCCUCAAGGUCAGUUUCUCUGCCCCUCCCCUUGUGUGGUGCGAUUCAGUAGUCUCACACGGAUAAGCCGGGUACUGACAUUCGGUUUCUGGCCCUCAGACACGGGUGACCUUGGAGCAGCUCUUGGGUGUGUGUUGAGCUCACUGGACAGUCCGUCGGGCCUCCCCAGAUAGCUGUGUGUCCAUGUGUGUUGCUGUGCCCUUUAGCUGACAUGGGGGUUCACGGAGUCCACGUGUAUUAGCCACAGCUGACCUUUCUGUGUGCGCUGUCUGGUCUGUGUUGAACAAUACAUGUAGAUUCUUUUUCAGCGCAGUUCCAGAACAUCCUGUAUUGUACACUGGGAAAUAUUUACCUUAUUUAUAUACCUGAAUGUUCCUGUUACACAAAUAAACGUCUAUUAAAUUCUG